rnacentral:rRNA from 1 species
AAUAGAUACCCUGGUAGUCCACGCCGUAAACGAUGAGUGCUAAGUGUUAGAGGGUUUCCGCCCUUUAGUGCUGCAGCUAACGCAUUAAGCACUCCGCCUGGGGAGUACGGCCGCAAGGCUGAAACUCAAAGGAAUUGACGGGGGCCCGCACAAGCGGUGGAGCAUGUGAUUUAACUCGAAGCAACGCGAAGAACCUUACCAGGUCUUGACAUCCUCUGCCAACCCUAGAGAUAGGGCUUCUCCUUCGGGAGCAGAGUGACAGGUGGUGCAUGGUUGUCGUCAGCUCGUGUCGUGAGAUGUUGGGUUAAGUCCCGCAACGAGCGCAACCCUUGAUCUUAGUUGCCACCAUUAAGUUGGGCACUCUAAGGUGACUGCCGGUGACAAACCGGAGGAAGGUGGGGAUGACGUCAAAUCAUCAUGCCCCUUAUGACCUGGGCUACACACGUGCUACAAUGGACGGUCAAAGAGCUGCAAGACCGCGAGGUGGAGCUAAUCUCAUAAAACCGUUCUCAGUUCGGAUUGUAGG